AUCAAUUGCCAACACAUAGUAAAAACUCUCCCACCCAAAACAGAAACUCACAAGUCACAACGGCACAACCUCAAGCAUUCCCUCCAUCGCUGAUCACCGUCGUAGACGUUGCCAUCACUGACAACUGUCCAUCAUUCAAACUGCAUCGUUGUUCCUAUUUUCAUCCUCCGCCUCAGAUCCGCAUUACUGUCUUCGUUUCUUCGUUCGUCUCAGAUCUAUGUCGCUACGGUGGAACCAGCAUCACUUUCAUCUUCGAAAGCAUCGUCAAUGGCGACAAGGAAGUUCAACGCGGAAGUUGAGGAGCUUCUUGACCAGAUGCUCGCUGCAAAAUUUCAAGAUUGAGCUCUUCUUCUCCAAGCUCCUCCUUCUCUGCAUCUCCUCCAAUUUCGGCGCUGCAUGUUCGUGAAAAGUGUCUUGCGUGAGAACUUCCACUUCAACAGAUCGGUUGGGAACGGGUCAAUCUAUGAGAGAUGGUGAGACCUUAGUUUCAGUUGAUGGAAGCUUUGAACUGGGUUUCUUCAGUCCUAAAACUGGCACAAGUUGGUAUUUGGGUGUGUGGUACAGAGAUGCAUCAAGAAACCCGAUAGUAGUGUGGGGGGCCAAUAGAGAAAGACCCCUUCAAAGCACGUCCGGACUCUUGAAAUUCAGUGACAAGGGAAUUCUUCAACUUCUCAAUGACGCAAACACUAGUGUUGUUUGGUCAUCCAACAUAUCUUUAUCCCUCCAAGCUUCAAAUAACUUAACUGCACAGCUCUUGAACUCGGGAAAUCUUGUUGUGAAGUACCAACACGCUAUGUUGCAUAGCCAACAGGAUGCUGCGGAGGACAACUUCUUGUGGUAGAGUUUUGACCAUCCUUCUGAUACGUUGAUGCCAGGAAUGAACCUUGGAUUAAACUUAGUUACUGGUCUGAAUAGAUUUCUAUCAUGUUGGAAAAGCUCAAAUGAGCCUGCUAUAGGAGAGUAUUCUUUAAAAAUUAAAUCCUAUGUUUGUUUAAUGCACAUUAAAAGAUUUGGAAGAGAUGCCAAAAAAGAUGAGCAAAUUAAAAGAUUUGCAAUUUUGAACUAGAAAGCAAGAUUUAUGGUCAACGCUGUGAUCACAAUACGUGAGUAUUGAUCAGUAGUUACUUACUUUACUCUGUAAACAUAGCUGUUUUAAAUAUAGUCAAUUUUAUAUUAUCACCCAUUUGAUAUAUAAAGUAGCAGUAUAGACCUAUACAUUAUGUUCAUUUGGAUAUUUCUUUUUGUUAUCUUUUGGUCUUUGUUAGUUCUAUUGUAAGAUACGAUUCUUUUGUUUGAUAGUAGUUUAUAUAUUUGUUUAAAAGAAGCGAAAUUAAAAUAGAAAGAAAAUGUGUAUGUGUGUUCUUUGCAGACCUUGGGGUAUGGCUAUUGAUAAUAUUGCUGAAGAGGCCACAAAAAGACUUCCUCCCUUGCCUCUGCAUAUUGACCGUCCACUUGGAUAUGAUUCUGAACUUGAAGAGGUUAAAUUACUUUUGGACAUUGGUUCUCAUGCUACCUGUUUCGUGCUGGGAAUUCAUCGAGAUGGUGAAAUAGGCAAAUUUGUUGCGGAGCUGUACAACAAGAUUAGGGCUCACUUUGUAAUUGCAAGUUUUCUUUCUAAUAUCAGUGAGAAAACAAAUGAAAGUGGUGGUGGUCUAGAACAUGUACAAGAAACACUUCUUUCUGAGAUGGGAGAGGAGGUGAAGUCUAAGAUUGGAAGCACAUUCAAAGGAUCCUCUGAAAUAAAACGAAGACUAGGAUUAAUAUUAAAUCCAUGUUUCCAGGAUCUGUGACUACCAAGCAAGCCCAACUCAAUAUUAUUGGCAUGAAUCAAUAUAUUAUAAUAUGCUUUAUGAUCAAGACUUAAUCGUAACUGAAUUUUGAAUAUGAAAACGGCAGUACACUGAAAAACAUAAUUAUUUUAAGAUCUGCAGCUAGAAGGAAACUUCUGAAAAUGUGCUAGCCUGUCCUAUAGAUUAUGAAACAUUUGCAUGCUUUAUAGGCUCAAUUCACAUGAAAUUUAGUUUCUUUAGGUGUUCUUGUAGUCUAUGUUAAUCAGGAAACAUAUCCAACUUCUUUAUCUGUCAUAUUGAUUUGUUCAAAAUAUUUAUUUGAUAGGAUGAAUUAGGAUUAUUAGAAUACAAAAUUGAGCUUGGUAAUAUCUGGUCCCACUUUUAUGCUUCGAUCUUUGUAAAUAGGCAGAACAAUUAGACCAUUAAUUAACCUCGAACACCUCUGACACUUUGACGCGUGCACAGAUCUGGAGCAGGGGUUUAGUGUCGGGAGUGGUGGUGUUUGCUUUCGUCUUCGUAUUUGUCUCUGCAGACGAUGUUGUUGUGCUCAUGGAAGAUAACUUUGAAAAGGAGGUUGGUCAGGACAGAGGAGCACUUGUUGAGUUCUAUGCUCCUUGGGCUUCGUCCCACUACCAGGAUCAAACAAUGAAUCUUGGUGCCAAGGGUUAGAUGGAUUGGCUUCCAGAUCUGCUGAAUACUACAAGCAAGGUGCUCGAUUUGCCAAGUGGUAUUUUUUGGCUGAAAUUGAGGGAGCUGAACAAAAAUCUGAUUUAGGCUGAAAAAGGACUGCUGAUGUUGUUGGAUUCUGACCUCCCUGCACUCGGAAUGGAUUUUUUGGAGCUACAGAAGUUUAAUUGGCCUGCUCUCAAUUGAGUUGGAAAGUAGACAUCCAGGACUUUCCAACAAUAUAUAAUAGUCCAUACUUUGUGCGAAGAUAGACGACGUAAACUUGCGUUCAACGCCAGUUCCAUGUUGCAAUCUGGCGUUCAGCGCCAGAAACACGUCACAAACUAGAGUUGAACACCAAAAAGACGUUACAACUUGGCGUUCAACUCCAAAAACAGCCCAAGCACGUGAGAAGCUUAAGUCUCAGCCCCAGCACACACCAAGUGGGUCCUAGAAGUGGAUUUCUGCACUAUCCAUCUUAGUUUACUCAUUUUCUAUAAACCUAGGUUAUUAGUUUAGUAUUUAAACAACUUUUAGAGAAUUAUUUUGUAUCUCAUGACAAUUUUUAGAUCUGAAUUUUAUACUCUUUGACGACAUGAGUCUCUAAGCUCCAUUGUUGGGGGUGAGGAGCUCUGCAGCGUCUCGAUGAAUUAAUGCAAUUAUCUAUGUUUUCCAUUCAAA